AGUGAACGCUGGCGGUAGGCCUAACACAUGCAAGUCGAACGGCAGCACAGUAAGAGCUUGCUCUUACGGGUGGCGAGUGGCGGACGGGUGAGGAAUACAUCGGAAUCUACUUUUUCGUGGGGGAUAACGUAGGGAAACUUACGCUAAUACCGCAUACGACUUACGGGUGAAAGCAGUGGAUCUUCGGACCUUGCGCGAUUGAAUGAGCCGAUGUCGGAUUAGCUAGUUGGCGGGGUAAAGGCCCACCAAGGCGACGAUCCGUAGCUGGUCUGAGAGGAUGAUCAGCCACACUGGAACUGAGACACGGUCCAGACGCCUACGGGAGGCAGCAGUGUGGAAUAUUAGACAAUGGGCGCAAGCCUGAACCAGCCAUACCGCAUGGGUGAAGAAGGCCUUCGGGUUGUAAAGACCUUUUGUUGGGAAAGAAAAGCAGCAGGUUAAUACCCCGCUGUUCUGACGGUACCCAAAGAAUAAGCACCGGCUAACGUCGUG
rnacentral:rRNA from 1 species